ensembl:lncRNA
GCAGCCGCUCCGCCCGGCGCGCGCGGGGAGGAGGGAGGGGCGGGGGAAGGGAAGGGCGGGGGGAGGGAGGGAAGGGGCAGAGCCAGCCCGCUGCCGCCGCGCUCCUCGCGGGCCGCCCGCCGCCGCCGCCGCCCGCCGCCGCCUCGCCUCGCCGAGCUCUGCUUCCCACCGCCGCCCUCGGCAGCCCAGGGGCGGGCGGUGACGACGGAGCGGGGAGGGGCGGAGGGCGCGCGGCCGCCGCCGGAGCGGUGCUAAGGGCCCGCGCGUGCGCGUGAGCGCAGGGGGCGGGCGCGCGCGGGCUGGCGUCUGGCGGCUCGCGGGCGGUUUGACAUUGCCGCCCUCCGGCGCGGGAGGAGCUACGGGGGCGGGGGCGGGGCUGCGGGAGAAGGCGGGGACCGGGGGGAGGGACUGGCCAAUCGCCACGGUCGCCCUGCUAACCGGAAUUUGGUGACGGCCUGUCACGGAGCGACAGGUAUUUAAAAGGGGCGGGGCGAGGCCCGGCGGCCAAUCGGAGUGACGAAGGAGAAGGCGUGGCAGCGCGCGCGGAGGGGAGACGACUCUCGUCGCCGGGCAUUGGCGGGUCAGGAAAGGGAGGGCGCUGAGUGGCAGCGCUGUGAACCAAUGGGGGCGGCGCGGCGCCGCGCGGGUCACGGCGGGAGAGGAGCGUCGCCGGCGGCGGCGCUGCAGCGCGCGUGGGCCGGUGCUGCUCCUGGCGUUCCGCGCGGCCUCGCCGCGGGGGCUGCUGGGAGCCGCAGUUCGCCGCGUGCGUGUGGCGCGAGGGGAGCUGCGGCUGCCGCCGCGUGCGCGGCCGUGACGGCACCUGCGGGGUGCUGGGGGCACUGCGUGGCGCGGCUUUCCCCAGCCAGCCCUCUGAGGGCUGCUCGGCCGUCCCCGAGUGCUUCUGCUUGGCUUUCGAGGUCUGAAGGACUCCACCAAGAAGAAAAUGCAGCGGUGACCAAUUUAUGGAUUUAUAUGACUUGA